rnacentral:rRNA from 1 species
UACAGAGGGGGCAAGCGUUGUUCGGAAUUACUGGGCGUAAAGGGCGCGUAGGCGGCCGCCUAAGUCAGACGUGAAAUCCCUCGGCUCAACCGGGGAACUGCGUCUGAUACUGGGUGGCUUGAAUCCGGGAGAGGGAUGCGGAAUUCCAGGUGUAGCGGUGAAAUGGCGUAGAUAUCUGGAGGAACACCUGCGGCGAAGGCGGGUUGCUGGGCUGACACUGACGCUGAUGCGCGAAAGCUAGGGGAGCGAACGGG